rnacentral:snRNA from 1 species
AGCUUUGCGCAGUGGCAGUAUCGUAGCCAAUGAGGUUUAUCCGAGGCGCGAUUAUUGCUAAUUGAAAACUUUUCCCAAUACCCCACCGUGACGGAUUGAAAUAUAGCCGGCACCGGCAAUUUGACAGUCUCUACAGAGA